rnacentral:rRNA from 1 species
ACUUAUAUUCUGUAGCAAGGUUAACCGAAUAGGGGAGCCGAAGGGAAACCGAGUCUUAACUGGGCGUUAAGUUGCAGGGUAUAGACCCGAAACCCGGUGAUCUAGCCAUGGGCAGGUUGAAGGUUGGGUAACACUAACUGGAGGACCGAACCGACUAAUGUUGAAAAAUUAGCGGAUGACUUGUGGCUGGGGGUGAAAGGCCAAUCAAACCGGGAGAUAGCUGGUUCUCCCCGAAAGCUAUUUAGGUAGCGCCUCGUGAAUUCAUCUCCGGGGGUAGAGCACUGUUUCGGCAAGGGGGUCAUCCCGACUUACCAACCCGAUGCAAACUGCGAAUACCGGAGAAUGUUAUCACGGGAGACACACGGCGGGUGCUAACGUCCGUCGUGAAGAGGGAAACAACCCAGACCGCCAGCUAAGGUCCCAAAGUCAUGGUUAAGUGGGAAACGAUGUGGGAAGGCCCAGACAGCCAGGAUGUUGGCUUAGAAGCAGCCAUCAUUUAAAGAAAGCGUAAUAGCUCACUGGUCGAGUCGGCCUGCGCGGAAGAUGUAACGGGGCUAAACCAUGCACCGAAGCUGCGGCAGCGACGCUGAUGCGUUGUUGGGUAGGGGAGCGUUCUGUAAGCCUGUGAAGGUGUGCUGUGAGGCAUGCUGGAGGUAUCAGAAGUGCGAAUGCUGACAUAAGUAACGAUAAAGCGGGUGAAAAGCCCGCUCGCCGGAAGACCAAGGGUUCCUGUCCAACGUUAAUCGGGGCAGGGUGAGUCGACCCCUAAGGCGAGGCCGAAAGGCGUAGUCGAUGGGAAACAGGUUAAUAUUCCUGUACUUGGUGUUACUGCGAAGGGGGGACGGAGAAGGCUAUGUUGGCCGGGCGACGGUUGUCCCGGUUUAAGCGUGUAGGCUGGUUUUCCAGGCAAAUCCGGAAAAUCAAGGCUGAGGCGUGAUGACGAGGCACUACGGUGCUGAAGCAACAAAUGCCCUGCUUCCAGGAAAAGCCUCUAAGCAUCAGGUAACAUCAAAUCGUACCCCAAACCGACACAGGUGGUCAGGUAGAGAAUACCAAGGCGCUUGAGAGAACUCGGGUGAAGGAACUAGGCAAAAUGGUGCCGUAACUUCGGGAGAAGGCACGCUGAUAUGUAGGUGAAGUCCCUCGCGGAUGGAGCUGAAAUCAGUCGAAGAUACCAGCUGGCUGCAACUGUUUAUUAAAAACACAGCACUGUGCAAACACGAAAGUGGACGUAUACGGUGUGACGCCUGCCCGGUGCCGGAAGGUUAAUUGAUGGGGUUAGCCGCAAGGCGAAGCUCUUGAUCGAAGCCCCGGUAAACGGCGGCCGUAACUAUAACGGUCCUAAGGUAGCGAAAUUCCUUGUCGGGUAAGUUC